CCUUCUCGGUGUAACUAGGUCAGCGCAAGGUGAUCCUGAGGAGAUAGGCGGCGCUCGGGGGGCGCCCUCGUUCCUCUUAUCGCGCCUUUGUCCCUCCCUCCGUUCCUUGCCCCGCACCCUCACUUUCGCCGCCCUGUGCGUUGCCUGUCCCGGAACUGGUUCCCUCAAGCCGCCCUCACCUGUUCUGACUUCCCCUCGAGGCACAAUAGCCUGAGAGAUCAGACGUGGGAGAUUAGAUUGCUCGGCGUCAGACCUACUUCUAGGCAACCCCCCCUAGACUGGAGCUGCUCGUCGUGGACAUUAGGAUCUAGUUGGGCAUGAGCCCUUAACUUAAGGGUCGGGGGGGAAGUGGCGGGUGCGGAGAGGAGGCGUGGAGAGUGUGAGGAAGAAGAGAGGCACUCUGAGAAGAAGUCGAACAACUAACCCCUCAUUUGGCCUGGUUUGGGUGAGAAGAUUGAGUCACUUGGGGAAAAAAAUAUUGGAGAAGUCAGAGAAGGUGUAAAUCAGUGGUGCCACAAACACCAGUUUACUUCCACUUUUCACCCCCCGGGUCUGUUUUGUCUGCGUGCAGCUCUCCUCGUGUCGGAGACGCUGAGUCAGUUCUCUACUGGUCUUGCCCUCUUCCGGAAAAAGAAAACACACCUGAGAAGUGGUAGUUCCUAUCCUAACCUACUGGGGCCCUUUAUACCAGGUGCCAAACUUCAUUAUCCACCCCACCACCUUGCCCGGGAGGGAGAUCUGUGAAAGCGAAACGUGAUUUAAGCUGGGAUCUGGCAGCAACUUCGUGGACUCUGAAGGGCACGUGGGAAAGGAGUUUUGAUUGAAGAGUAAUUUUAUGCUGAUUGAAGAAAAGAAGUAAACAGAGUUCCAGAAAGCAACUGCAAAUACUCAUUUUGAAAAAGAAAACAAAACAAAAACAAGGGAGACAUUUUAAAAGGUGCUAAAGCAACAGGACCAGUUGCCAGAGAGCUUAUUUUACCUCCCCAAAACAAGAUUGGUGUUUCAUCCUUGAGUUUAGUACACAGGAUUGUUCUUAUUCUUCUGCAGAUAGAGAGGUGCACUGCUUUAUGCUGCAAGUUGUCUAUAAGACAAGUUUUGUGAGUAUCAAAUAUUUGUAAGCAAAUCAAAUUUCUCCCCCAGUUGAAAUGAUUAUUUCAGAAGAAUUUCUUCUUUGUUUUGAAUUGGACUUCUGAGUUGGACUUCUCAGCAUGAUAAAGAAGAAAGAGCAUUAGAAUAAGAAAGAAGAUUAAGCUUCUUGUUUUGAUUAUGCCCAUAAUCAGCUGUGGGACCCCGGGCUAAUGCACUCCAAAAUCCCACUGUUCUGUGACCUUGCUAUGUGGGGCAUCAGCCUCCUCAUCUCUAAUAUUUUGGAUUUAAGUUAGUUGAUUUUUAUGGUCCCGCAAUGGAAUUCUUUAAACAACUCCACUAAUCCAUGAUACUGUUGCUUUAAAAAUCUUGGUUUUAGCUUUCCUCUAAGGAAUUUAUAGUGACAAUUAUCUACUUUUUUUUUCUUAAAUAAAAAUAGAGGUGGGGUUUUGCCAUGUUGCCCAGGCUGGUCUCAAACUCUUGGGCUCAAGUGAUCUGCCCACCUUGGCCUCCUAAAGUGCUGGGAUGACAGGUGUGAGCCACUGUACCCGGCCAGACCAUAUGUCUCUAGCAUUUUGAUAACAUUCUCUACAAUCUGGGCCCUGUAUAACUCCCCAGUCUUCAGACUACUACUCUCUAUGCUCACAUCUUUGGCGAUUUUAUACUCUUUGCCAAUUUAGAUGCCAUUUGUUUUUUCGUUUCCAGUAGAUUAGUAUGUCCAACCCAGAUUUUGGUAAACCCUAGACUCAUUCUACAGUCUGUGACAUCUCCAUUUGGAUUUCUUAUUGGCAUCUCAGACUCCAUAUGUCUAACCUGGAAUGCCUGAUCUCCAUUGCCUCCUAAACCGGCUUCUCUCACGGCUCUCCCAUCUCGGGGCCCAGCAUCUCAGACCUUUGCCUUGCUUACACCAGACAUUUUGUUGUUAUCUGUACCACCUCCUUCUCGUGCAGUCUACUUGAUGCCACCUAAUUGGUAUCCCUGGCUUCUGCCCUUGUUCUCUUAACGAAUCAUUUUCCAAACAGCAGCCAGAGUGAUCCUUUCAAAAAUGGAUUCAGAAAUCAUGUCACUGCUCUGCCCAAAGUUCCCAAAUGACUUCCCAGUCACUCAGAGCACAAGCUGACGCUCGACACAUCUGGGCCCCGUAAGAUUUUCAUUUCUGCUCCUCCUCCUUUUGCUCACUCUGCCCCUGCCACAUUGGUCUCCUGCUUUCCCGGAACUUGCCCAACAUGUUCCUCCCUCAGGGCCUUCACAUUUGUCAUUUCCUGUCCUAUGAUGCUCUUCCUGCAGAUAUCUACAGCAGCUCCCCGCUGCUCCUUUUGCAGGUUUUUGUUCAGAUGUCAUCUUCCUGGUGAGCUCUUCCCUGAACAACUCCUCACCCCCUCCACCUUGCCCCUGGGACUCCCUUUGACCUUUCUCGGAUUGUUUUCCCUGUAACUCUUGCCACCACCUCAUACAGGGCUUCUCAAGCUUGGCAUGAUUGGCAUUUUGGGACAGUUCUUUGUUGCGGGCUAUUAUCCUGUGCCUUGCAGGAUGUUUAGCAGCAUCACCACCCUCGACCCACUCAAUACCUGCAACUUUCCUCCCUAGGUUGUGACAGCCAGAAAUGUCUCCAGACACUGCCAAAUGUCUCCUGGGGGACAAAACCACCCCUGGUUGAGAAUCUUUGAUAUAAUGUAAAUAUGCAUUUUACCUAUGUAUUUGUUUAUUGUUCCUCCCUUCCCCACCAAUAAAAUAUAAUCUCCAUGAGAACAGGAAUUUUUGUGUCUAUUUUCCACUGAUGUAAUGCAGGCACUCUGAAUAGGGUAUGAUGCAUAGUAGGUGCUCAAACAGAUAUUUCACUGGUGAAUAAAUGAAAUGUGCUCUGACCUUGUUCCUCUGUGCUCAUUAAGCUCUAGCCACACUGACCUUUCUUCCACCUCUCAGACAUCUGAAGCUCCUUCUCACCUUUCAGUCUUUUUCUUUCAGAUCUCACUCCUGGAAAGCUCUAUUCGCAGGUCUCUGUUUACUUGUUACUCAGGUCCAAUAACACCUGCUUAGAGAGGCUUCCCUGAUCACCGUAUCCUACAUGACCCUCCCUGCCAGCCAGAGUCACUGUCUAUAUUGUUACUGUGUUUUAGUUUCUGCAUUACAUUUGUCUUGGAAAUUAUCUUGUUUACGUGGCAGGUGUACAUCUUGCUCCCUUAAAUGAAUGCUCCUUGACCACUCCACAUUAUCUGCUUUGUUUAUUAACGGCAGUAAUCUAAAACAGUAGUCUAAAACAGUGCAAGGCCCAUCGUUGAUGGGCUGAUUAAAUAAGUAUGCCUGUCUUUUAAUCAAUUCAGGGUGGAAGAGAGUCUCUAUAGAAAGGGUUUAAGGGCUGUGUCUGUCAAGGUCCAGUAGCAAAAAAAAAGAAAAAAGAAAAAAAAAGAGUCUGCUCUAGCUAAUUUGAACAGAAAGGGAUUAAUUAGAGAAUGUGGUUCACCAUCGAGAAGGCUGCAGCAACAUCCUCCACAGUGAGCUUUCAGGAACCACCUUGGAAACCACACACUGACUGGGCCACCAAGGUAGAGACUGCUCUUCUUUGAUUGGGAGAACUACAGCCAAGCUGGGACACUGAGGGGUCAGCUGCUGGGUCUGGGACCAAAUGACCACUUCUGGGAAGAUCACACCUGCAUGAAAAGGAGGUCAGCACUACUGGGAACUGACAAGAUCAAGAGACUGGGGUAAUGACUCUGUGUGGUUCUCCCCGUGUACAUGUUAAUAAAAUGUAUAUCCCUUUUCUCCAAUUAAAAAAAAAUUCCCUAGCAAGUUGACUCAGAAGAAAUAAAUGAAUACUCUCAAAAAACUGCGUCAGAAAAACCAGACACUUCCACUCUAGUGUUGGCUAACAGGAAGCGACAAAGCAGCGGAAGCUUAUUUGUCUUGUCUUCUAGCUCUCAUGCCAGUACGCAUGAUUGGUGGAACAAAACCUCGGCUACUAGGAAGUCUGGGAGAUGUGGCUUUUAGCUUUCCAGUCUCUGUAGCAUGGAGGGCACAUUGGGAACAGGUUAGAAUGGCUGUGAGGGCUGCUAAUCCACUAUACAUAGGAUGGACAGAUGAUUGAUUAUUAAAAAGUUAAUGAAUCUUCAAGUUUAUAUUUGCCAGGCAAGAAGGUCUCAGUAAAACCAAACCAAAAAGGGCCAGGCACUAUUACGAGGCUCAUGCCUGUAAUCCCAGCACUUUGGGAGGCCGAGGUGGGCAGAUCACCUGAGGUCAGGAGUUCAAGACCAGCCUGGCCAACAUGGCAAAACCCUGUAUCUACUAAAAAUACAAAAAAAAAAAAAAAAAAAAAAAAAAAGCCAGGCAUAGUGGUGGGUGCCUGUAAUCCCAGCUACUCAGGAGGCUGAGGCAGGCGAAUUGCUUGAAUCAGGGAGCAGGAGGUUG
rnacentral:lncRNA from 1 species